rnacentral:rRNA from 1 species
AUUGAACGCUAGCGGGAUGCCUUACACAUGCAAGUCGAACGGAGUGGCGAACGGGGGAGUAAUGUAUCGGAACGUGCCCAGUAGCGGGGGAUAACUACGCGAAAGCGUAGCUAAUACCGCAUACUAUUGGAGCGGCCGAUAGCGGAUUUGCUUGUGGGUGGGGUAAUGGUUCACCAAGGCGACGAUCCGUAGCUGGUUCGAGAUGACGACCAGCCACACUGGAACGGAUACACGGCCCAGACUCCUACGGGAGGCAGAAGUGGGGAAUUUUGGACAAUGGGGGAAACCCUGAUCCAGCCAUCCCGCGUGUGCGAUGAAGGCCUUGGGGUUGGAAAGCACUUUUGGCAGGAAGGCGGUACCUGCAGAAUAAGCACCGGCUAACUACGUGCCAGCAGCCGCGGUAAUUC